AUAUAGUGUGGCUAAUAUGUGUUUUUAUAGAUUUACAUUUUACAGCGAAUUAUAUGUAUAUAUAUAUGUAUACUUAAGCAUAAAAAAAAAAUAUAUAGCAUAAGUGAAAAAUGCUUCUUAAGAUAUUUUUUAUUUAGCAAAAAAAAAAAAAAAAAAAAAAACGGCUAAGUUAUUUUAAGCAAAUAGAAAAAUAUAAUUUAUCUACUAAUAAAACAAUUUUUCGUUUUUUUUUUUUUUUUUUUUUUAAAACUAUUUAUUGUAUAUAUACAUAUGUUUUCAAUUAUAAUUUGAUUUUUACUAUUAUUAUUACAUAAUUUAAAACAUAAGUAUACAUGAAAUUAUUUUUUUUUUAAAAAAAAUGCUCUUUUAAAUAACUUAUAUAUUUUGUAAAAAUAGGAAGAGUAGUAAAAAAAUGAAUAUAUAAUAUAAUUUUUGUUUUGUAGGACAAAAAUAUUGUUUAUUAUAUUAAUAUAUAAUACAUAUGUGAUUUAUUCAGUUUAUUUGUAUAAGUUACGUAUAUACAUAAAAAUAAAUAAAUAAAUAAAUAAAUAAAUAAAUAUAUAUAUAUAUAUAUAUAUAUAUAUUAUCAACUGUAUAUAUUAAUUUGUUAAACUUAAAUAUAAACGGUUUUAACAUUUCUUAAAAAAAAAAAAAAAUUUUGUAAACAGUUAACACGCAGUUACAUAUUUUUUUUUUAAAAAGUUUAUUUUAUAUUUUUAUUUUGCUCUUUUCUUUAUAUAUUUUGUUUUUUUCUAUUGUUAUUAAUUUUUUCAUUUAAUUUUUUUAUUGAGCAAUUUUUAAAUAAAUACUGAUAUUUAUUAUAAAUCAAGAACAACAGAAAAAAAAAUAAAAAAUGAAUCACUUAGAUGAAAACAGAGAAUCAAAUGAUCAUGAGCAUCAUAAUGCUGGAUCAACAUUGUACGUUUCAAAUUUAAGUUCAAGAAUAACUACUUGGGAACUUCAAGAUUUAUUUGAACAAUAUGGAACUAUAGAAAAAUGCCAUGUUAUCUGUAAUCCAAUUACAAAAGAAUCAAGACAAUUCGGAUUUGUCACUUUUCAUUCUCCUGAUGAAGCACAAAAUGCAAUGAAUAAAACACAUAACAUGGAUCUAGAAGGGAGACUUAUUAACGUACAAAUAGCCAGACGAAAUGAACCAUAUGAACCAACCCCAGGCCAAUAUAAAGGAACUAACAGUAAAUAUAGACGAAACUACGAAAUGAGGCGUAACUAUUAUGCAAGAAAUAAUUACAGAUAUUAUGAUAGAAGGCGAGUUGAAGCAAGAAGAUACCCAUAUUACAGAUACCCAAUAAAAAGUUACGGUUACAGAAAUAACACGUAUAGAAAUUAUGAUAAUAAUGGAAGAAAUACAUAUAACGAUAAUAGACGUUAUGAAAGAAAAUCAAUAGAUUAUAGAUAUCAUAAAAGAGAUGAUUAUUAUAAAAAACCUACAAUGAGCAGUGAUGAUGAAAAAUAUUAUUCAGGAGAUGAUAGUGGUAAAAGAAGAAGAAAAUAUGACAAAUAUAGAAGAUCAUUUAGUCACUCUUUAAGUAACCCAAGACAGCACAAAGGUUCUUCACCAUAAAGGAUGAUGACUUAAUAUUUAUAAAUACACUUUUCUAUACCUUUUUUUCUUUCUCCUUUUACAAUUUAGCAAUUAAUAUCACGAAACAAAACAAAACAAAUUAUAUACUUAUGAAUGCUAAACAAAAUCAGAAUAUUUCUUAGUAGAUGGAUUCAUAUUUUUGUAUGUUAUAAUAAUAUAGCAAUUUUUUUUUUAUUUUUUUAUUUCAAAAGUUAAAAAUUAACAUUUAAGUGACUGUAUGUAUAUAUAUAUUAUACCAUUAAAUUGUAAAAUUUUCAAAUUAAACACAUACAUUUACCAAAAAAAAAAAAAAAAAAAAAAAAAAAUCGUACACAUUACACUUUUUUAAUACGAAUUACUGUAUCAAAACUAAGAAAAUUUUAAAAACAAUUAAAAAAAAAAUGUAUAACAUACGAAAAUCAGUGUUUUCAAAAAGUUAAAUGAAAAUGGAUUUACCUUUGUUCGGUUACAUAUACCCAUCAUCAUAUCUCCACCUUUUUAAUAAUUUAUUGUAACUAACAAAAAAAAAAAAAAUAAAAUAAAAAAUAAAAUUGAUUUUUAAAUAAAU
rnacentral:lncRNA from 1 species